UAGGGAAUCUUCGGCAAUGGACGAAAGUCUGACCGAGCAACGCCGCGUGAGUGAAGAAGGUUUUCGGAUCGUAAAACUCUGUUGUUAGAGAAGAACAAGGACGUUAGUAACUGAACGUCCCCUGACGGUAUCUAACCAGAAAGCCACGGCUAACUACGUGCCAGCAGCCGCGGUAAUACGUAGGUGGCAAGCGUUGUCCGGAUUUAUUGGGCGUAAAGCGAGCGCAGGCGGUUUCUUAAGUCUGAUGUGAAAGCCCCCGGCUCAACAGGGGAGGGUCAUUGGAAACUGGGAGACUUGAGUGCAGAAGAGGAGAGUGGAAUUCCAUGUGUAGCGGUGAAAUGCGUAGAUAUAUGGAGGAACACCAGUGGCGAAGGCGGCUCUCUGGUCUGUAACUGACGCUGAGGCGCGAAAGCGUGGGGAGCAAACAGG
rnacentral:rRNA from 1 species